UACGUACUCCCUCCGUCCGGAAAAACUUGUCCCUCAACUGGAUGUAUCUAGCACCAAGUUAGUGCUAGAUACAUCCAGUUGAGGGACAAGCUUGGGACAAGUUUUUCGGACGGAGGGGGUAUUAU
rnacentral:pre_miRNA from 1 species